ACGCUCUCGACGGCGGCGGUGUGAACGCACAGUAAGGUUCCCCCCACUAUGACAACACAAAAUCAGCAUGGAGACCGCCGGCCGCACGCGAUCUACCCUGUAGUUACAAAUCUGGCAGCUCUGCUGAGACAAAUCAUUCUAUUUUCAAGGUGUUCUGCAUAAAUGCAAAGAAAACUAUUGGGUAAAGUGCCACAACCCAUCCAGUGG